CAGAAUUCUGGCUCGGAGGGCCGGUGUACAGUACUUUAAAUAUGGCAGUAGUUGUGUCUGAAAUUAUCGUGUUUUUCUGUUUAACCUGUUUCUUGUCUCUUCAUCGCCUUUCUAUAUAAUGUAAGACCAGAGGCUUUAUGUAGUGAAUUCCCUGUAACCCCGGCUCCUUGGACAAAUAGGUAUUCAAGUAUUUGUUUCUUGAAGUAAUCCUCUGAAUUAACCUGCUCACAUGUAAAAAAUAAUAAGCGGCUGGGAAACGCCAGUAAUAACCGACAAACGUUUGUUAGACAUUUACAGUGUGCCAAGGACUGCAUUUUACGUGUAUUAUCACAUUCCUCAGAACAGCCUAAUGAGGACAUAUACUCUCUCUUUAGGUGUAGCUUCCUCCCCUCUGAGAUGGAAAUUAUAAGCCAUCUCGCAGUGUUGUGAGGAUUGGAGCUCAAGUGUGUAAAAUGCCUCCUCUGUGGGCUCUCCUUGGAGAGUUCUUGUAUCCUGUUGAUUGUCAUCAAAGGAAAAAAGUGGCAGGAUGAUGGCAUAAGUGGGAAGAACCUUGAGUUUAAUAGUCUGAAAAAGUGGUUACAGGUUCUUGCUGUGCUUUUCCUCUCUGUGGUUUUCUGAACCCAUCGCCUAACCUGAAGCCUUAAACUUCAUCUGCAAAAAUGUUUUGUGCCUCUGAAGCAGAACUCUUGAGAUGGAAGGAUUGUCAUCUGAGGAAAAAAAAUCAAGAUUAAGAGAGGAGGAACUAGAAUGAGAUUCACAUACCCUCUCUCCUCCAAGGGAAGGAGAGAGUGGUGUUGCCUGCCCACUCCUUCCUGGGCAGAACGUUUGUAGCAUGGAACAUUGGAGAAUUUGCAGUCUGCUGACUUUCUGAUUUAGGAGGUUGAUGGGGAGGCCUUAUAAUUUGCAUUUCUAACAAGUUCUGAGGUGAUGCUUCAAGUAUGUCCAGGCAGAAGGGCCGCCUCACAGAGAUUUCUGCCAUACCACAUGGGAAUUGAAGUCACAGACAUUUCCAACCCUCAAGCCUGAAACCAAAAGACUGAAAACCAACACUACAGUGGACAAAGAACAUCUCAGAACUUCUGUGGGGACCAGUGACACAAGGACCUAAGGUGUCUCUCUUCUCAUCUUGGCACUUCAGAAGUCUCCCCAGUCUUGACAAAGCCCUGGAGAAAGGGCCGGGCCUCCCGUUGAUAAGAUUAUCACUACAGAUAAAUGGAGGUUUCAAAUUGAAAGAAAGGAGGAGGGCCUCCUGUUGAUAAG
rnacentral:lncRNA from 1 species